rnacentral:lncRNA from 13 species
GAUUCCCUCGGGAACGGCCCCCCCGAGGCUCCCGGGGCUCCGAGUGGGGUUUUGGUGAUUCCCCACCCCAAUUCCUCGGGGCUGCGGCCGAACCCCGAAAUAUUGCUAAAAAAAGCGGGAUUUGGGAUUUUCCAGCCAGCUGCUCCCCCCGCGCCGGGAUUCCCCCCCCCCCCAUCCAAAAACCCUGGAAAACAACCCCCGAUCCCAAAAAAAUGACCAAAACCCCCUUUUUUUUUACUGCAAACUCCCCGGGGGAGAGCGGGAAGGACCUAAAAUCCAUUGGAUUAUCCAGAAGAAUCCCCAAGGAGCGGCCCGGGGGAGGCGGGGGGGAUCUAAAAUCCAUGGAAUUCUGCAGAAGAAUCCGCAAGGAGCGGCCCGGGGUAGAGUGGGAAGGACCCAAAAUCCAUGGAAUUCUGCAGAAGAAUCCCAAGGAGCGGCCCGGGGGGGACGCCGGGGCUGCGCGAGGCAGAGCCGGGCUCUGCUCCUGAAGGCACCUCGAGUUUCCAGCACAGUGACCUGGCACGGAGGGAAUGCGGGAAUGCGGGAAUUCGGGAAUUCCGGCUGAUCCCAGGCCAAACCACCCGCGGGGAGGGGGGCGGGGGGAGGGAACUCUGAAUUCCCGGGAAAAACCAAAAAAACAAACCAACAAAAAGCUCCUUUGGGACUCCCCUCGUGAUCCCUGAGAUGUCCCCGGGGUGGGCGAGGGCUGCCACAGCGGGGAGGGGAGCCCGGGAAUGCUGCUGGGAUGGAAUCCGGGUCCUGGAUCCCCAGGAGGGGGGAAAUCCCGAAAACGAUAGCACCCGAAGUGGGGAAAACCAGCAAAAAACCGGGAAUAUUGGGGCGGGGAAAGAGGCGUUCGCAGCUGCUCUUUAGGGAUCCCGAAUCCCUACAGGGAUCCCAAGGCGGGAUCAGAUCCCCAGGGCGAUCCCGAGCCGGCAGCCGGGAAGGGUCGGGGCCGGGAAAAAGGGAAACGGGAAGGAAAUGCUGCGGGAAGAGAGAAACCAAACCAGAAGGACGCAAGGGCGGAGCCCGUGGAAGCCGAGGCGGGGCGAGCCCGGAGGGCCCGCGGCCGGCGGCAGCUCCCGGCGCCGGGAAGGGGCCGGGAAGGAGCCCCCGAGGGCUCGGGAGCGGGAGCGGGAGCGGGAGCGGGAUCGGGACGGGCGGGGCUGUGCUCCGGGAGAACAGCUCAGAGCGUGCGCGGGUUGUACUCGGGCAGCUUCCGCAGCUUCUCCUGCUCCGCCUCCGACUCGUCCCGGGCGAUCACCAGCGAGUGCGCGUAGCCCAUGGCCACCUGCAACGGGACACGGUCAGCGGGCAGUGGGCACUGCCCAUGGCCACCUGCAACGGGACACGGUCAGCCGGCAGUGGGCACUGCCCAUGGGACAGGGUCAGCGGGCAGUGGGCACUGCCCACAGGACAGGGACACGGUCAGCGGGCAGUGGGCAGUGCCCACAGGACACGGUCAGCGGGCAGUGGGCAGUGCCCACAGGACAGGGUCAGCCAGCAGUGGGCAGUGCCCACAGGACAGGGUCAGUGGGCAGUGCCCGCAGGACAGGGUCAGUGGGCAGUGGGCAGUGCCCACAGGACAGGGUCAGCGGGCAGUGGGCACUGCCUACAGGACACGGUCAGCGGGCAGUGGGCAGUGCCCGCAGGACACGGACAGGGUCAGUGGUCAGUGCCCACAGGACACGGUCAGCGGGCAGUGGGCACUGCCCGCAGGACAGGGUCAGUGGGCAGUGCCCGCAGGACAUGGUCAGCGGGCAGUGGGCAGUGCCCACAGGACAGGGUCAGCGGGCAGUGGGCAGUGCCCACAGGACACGGUCAGCCGGCAGUGGGCAGUGCCCGCAGGACACGGUCAGCGGGCAGUGGGCAGUGCCCACGGGACACGGUCAGCCAGCAGUGGGCAGUGCCCACAGGACACGGACAGGGUCAGUGGUCAGUGCCCACAGGACACGGUCAGCGGGCAGUGGGCAGUGUCCACGGGACAGGGUCAGCCGGCAGUGGGCAGUGCCCACAGGACACGGACAGCGGGCAGUGGUCAGUGCCCACAGGACAGGGUCAGCGGGCAGUGGGCAGUGCCCACAGGACACGGUCAGCGGGCAGUGGGCAGUGCCCACAGGACACGGACAGGGUCAGCCGGCAGUGGGCAGUGCCCGCAGGACACGGACAGGGUCAGUGGUCAGUGGGCAGUGCCCCUGCCCGUCACCCCGCAGGUGUCCUGAGCUGGGCACGGCCUCAGCGGCCCCGAAUCCUUCAGGGGAUGGCCCCGAAUGUGCCCCUCCCCCAGCCCUGGCCCCGCUCUGGUUGCCCCUCGCCCUCUCCAGUUGCCCCUCGCCCUCUCUGGUUGCCCCUCGCCCUCUCCGGUUGCCCUCUCCGGUUGCCCUCUCCGGUUGCCCCUCGCCCUCUCCGGUUGCCCUCUCCGGUUGCCCCUCGCCCUCUCCGGUUGCCCCUCGCCCUCUCUGGUUGCCCUCUCCAGUUGCCCCUCGCCCUCUCCGGUUGCCCUCUGUGGUUGCCCCUCGCCCUC